UACGUAGGGUGCAAGCGUUGUCCGGAAUUAUUGGGCGUAAAGAGCUCGUAGGCGGUUCGUCGCGUCGGCUGUGAAAACCCGGAGCUCAACUCCGGGCCUGCGGUGGGUACGGGCAGACUAGAGUGAUGUAGGGGAGACUGGAAUUCCUGGUGUAGCGGUGAAAUGCGCAGAUAUCAGGAGGAACACCGAUGGCGAAGGCAGGUCUCUGGGCAUUAACUGACGCUGAGGAGCGAAAGCAUGGGGAGCGAACAGG
rnacentral:rRNA from 1 species